AAUCUGCCCAUGAUCUUCACAACACAAUUUGAGUCCAGCGGAUGUGCAAAAUCAUCCGCAAGCUAGUUUCAAGUUUCAACAUUCAACUUUUUUGUAACCUACGUCUAUGUGUCAUACCUUCUCGCAUCAUCUUUGUAUCUAAAAUUUUCAGCGACUCAACCUCGGAAACAAGCGAGUCAACAACUCGUUCUUCGUUCUCAGUAGUCACCGUCGACUCCUCGGGGUUUUUAAUUAAAUACCCUUUAAUAGUUUUAAAAUUAUUUAAAUACCCCCUCCCUUUUUGGUUUUCAUGGAUACCCUAACAAAUGUGAGCAAAGUCGGAAAUACCCUUAAUGAAUGCAUCAAAUGCACUCAAUGAAUUGUCUUCAUAUUUCUUUCCUCAUUUCUUUCACUUAAAUCUAUUUUUGCUGCCGAUUCUUUCAAAAUCUCUUAGAAUCUCUCAAAAUCUCUCAUAACUUCUUACACAAAUACAAUUAUGUAUUCAUUUCUUUAACACCCACUCUUUCUUUAAAGGUGCAUUGCUUAUUAAACAACCCAAUAAGGUAUGUUAAUGUUGUUGGGUUUUAAAUUUUUUAAUUUUUAGGAAAAUUUAGAAAUUUUCCUCACAUUACAAUAUUUUAUUUUCACCAUUUUUUCUUAUACGUAGAAAUAUAUGCAAUGUAGGUUGUUUAAUUAUAUUUUUCAGCAAUAUAACUUAUUUAUGGCGAAAAUAUUUCGAGUCGUGCAUUCUUUUGAUACCGUGUACGUCAUAUAGUUAGUCGUGUAAGUAAUAUAGUCGUGUAAGUCGUGUAGGUCAUGUAAGAAAUAUAGUCGUGUAGGUCAUGUAAGAAAUAUAGUCGUGUAAGUCGUGUAGGUCAUGUAGGUCGUGUAGUUACUUGUAUAUGAAAUUUAAUAUUAUUGUUUUUAUUGUAUUAUCAGAUAUGGUUUUGGUACGCGUGUCUAUUCUCUUCAAUGGUGAAUGAAUUAAACAAAAUGACGAGUAUAAGUUCAAAAGUUCAAAGGCUAAAGGGAUAAUGAUACCACGAUCGACAACAUAUGCCGCAUUGGUGGAGAAGAUAGCUGAAGUUAUUGAUAUAGAUACUUCGGAAUUCAAAAUCACAAUGAAGUUCAAACUUAAGACAUCUGAUCCUAUGCCACCAGUUACAAUUCAAACCAAUGAUAAUUUGGAAUUUUUUUAAAUUCCAAUUUAAUUUCACUUCUUUUUUUAAUAAUUUUCAUUGACAUUUUCUGCAUAGCAGCAAAUAUAAAUUCUUAGCACAAAUUAAGUCUUUAAAGAACUAAAUUAAUCUAAUGAUUAAUGGAAAAUUCGUGUAAUUUUAAAGUCGCAAUUAAACAUAUUACAGCCAUUUAAAAAGUUUUUUUCUUUUUUUUUUUUUAUCUUCAAAGUGCUUUCUUCCUCUGGCCAAGCAUACAAGCAUACAUGAGGAAUGCUUGCAUAUAAUUAAUCCAUGAAAUCAAUUAAGAAAAAAAAUAUCAGCUAUAGGAAAUUAAUGUAAUGUUAUACACAUAAAAACACCAUUCGCAGUGAUAAAAUAUUUUCACUCAUAACUAGACAUAUCAUGACUUACCAUGACUUAUAAUUGGAAAUUAAGAAUCUCUCUAACUAAUGACAUUUCACAAGGUAAAGGUAUAUGUACAAUUCCAAUUUAUUGUGAGCCUAAUUAAACUAAAUGUAAUAUGCAGAUUCUAUUGACAAGAAACAAAAUGUGGAAUUGAAGGUCGUGUAAUUGUGUAAUACAAGAAGAUCGUAUAAUUGUAUAAUACAUGAAGGUCGUAUAAACAUGCAAUACAUGAAGGUCGUGUAAACGUGUAAUACAUGAAGGUCGUGUAAUCGUGCAAUACAUGAAGGUCGUGUAAUCGUGCAAUACAUGAAGGUCGUGUAAAACACAACCUUGAAUCUUACAUAACCUUACACGACCAAAUCUUAUAUUACAUAACAAAAUUAUAAUCAGCACAAUCCAUUAAUUUUUCACAAUUUGCAUGCAGCAAAACAACUAGAAAUUUGUUUUCGAACAUGUUAUGAGAGACCCACAACUAAUUAAUCUAUUUUUUCAAUAUAAAACCCUAACUUUUUAUUUUUUUCCCUUGAAUAGUAACAAGAAAACUAAUUACAUGGAAUUACUUGUCUCAACUAGUUACAUUCUGACAAUUUUGCAGUAAAUGAUCAACUCUCUCCGGCGAUUAUGUAGUGACGAACUAUGCUUCACUUUCUCAGUUGUGGCAGCUUCUCCUUCUCAGGCUUAGUUUGCUCGUGUUGAAGUUCGAUUUACCAUAUAUGGAGAAUGAAUGUUUGUUUCAGUAGAGGUGAUGUCAGUGAGGGAAUUGCAGUGUUUGUUUGUUUGAGUUUGAUAAUUGAGGGAAUUGCAGCAGAUGAGUAUUUGUUUGCUUCAGUAGAGAAGGGAGAGGUGCUGUCCGUUGAGUUGAAAUGUUUUAAAAUGAGGAUAACUUAGUAAUUUCCUAUCCGUUUUGAAAGGGUAUCGAUGAAAAUUUCGGCAAAAAUAGAUUUUAGGGUAUUGAGAUAAUUUUUGAAGUAUGGAGGUGUACCGGGCGCAAUUGGCUCCGACUCCUCCUCCUUCUCUUCGCUAACACCACUUCCGAGAUGGACUGAGUCAACUCGGUCCUUGAUGAUGGCCUCAGAUUUUAUCAAAUUAGUUUCUUUUUCUCUCUGAUUUCGAGAAAGUUUGUACCUUGUCUCUCCGGAGUUAUUAAUAUCAGUUCGGCGGUUGGGGAUAGAACGGCAUCGUAGAGUGGAGGUGGUUUCUUUGUAUUCUGACGUGGAUUGAUCUGAUUGGUCGGCGGGAAUGCAGUCGUAAGAGGGAAAAUCGUCGAGCGUAUCAAAGAAUUCGUCGUCCUCAUCGUUGGUUUUAUUCCGUUCGUCCAUUCAGCAACCAGAGACUGGGGUUUCAGUUUCCGGUUAUCGCUUAUCAGGAUCGAAUUUGCUUGCAAUUCACCGUGUUUGCAGCCUUCGUGUCAUCAUUUUUUUUUUGGUUCGGUUAAUAACAUUUGCAUCCCUAAUUUUUAACCAUUUCUCAUGAAUAUAUAUAUUUUUUCUUUUUAGCUCAAAAUGUCGUAUAUUCUUUCUAACACAUUAAACUUUUUUCUUUUCAAUUUUUUUUAAAUAACCUUUGCAAUAUUCAACUUUACCAUUAGUAAUUGUUUGUGACUUAGGGGCCUUAUGCUUCUUUUGAUUUGCUGACUUAAUUAACUUAAUUUUAAUCAAUUAAGGUAUUAAGUCUUUUUAUUUUUAAUUUAAUGAAAAUUUUUAAGUCAAUUCUUUUUUACUUUUUACUUAAUCUAAAGACUAAAAAGUCUGGAUAUUAUCAUUAAAAGAUAUUCUCCAAAAUAUUUCUAUUUAAUUUAUUAAUUUUUAUCUUUACCUAAAUUAAAUUUUAAUAAUUAACAUUAUUACACGUUUCUAUAACUUGUGAUAAUAUAAUGGUAGACUAUUAUUGUUUUUAUCUUUUUAUUUUCUUCUAGUUAGCAUUAUUUUUCUUCAUAAUUUUUAUGAAUAUUUUUCAUAUAAAAACAUCAUAAACUAUAAUGAUGUAUACUAAUUUAGAAUAUUAAUUUAUAAGUGCACAAAUGUAAAAAAUACUUGUUUUUAGAUUUUUUAAGUUAAAAAAAUAACUUAAUAUUUUUUUUAGAGAUUCGAACAAAAAAUAAAUAUAUUAUUAGAUUCAAACAUUCAGCUUUAUUAAGAUUCAGACUAAUUCAAGUUUAUUCAAUUUUUUUAGAUAAAAAAAUAAACACCACCUUAGGCUUUAAGUAUACUUUUAUUAUUUUAAUAAGAGUUUAGAUAAUCAGGCAUGUAAUACAAUAAGAACUCAUAUGACCUAUAAUGUGUGUAUAUAUAUAAUCAUUCUCUAAUGAGGCAUCCUUAUUUUGAUAAAGUGAGGAUGUGACUAAUAAAUAAAAUAUAAAUUUCAAUAUACUAAGAGAUAAAAAAAUAUAGAUUUUAAUAAAUUAGAAAUUAUAUUUUUUAUAUUUUAGUGACAUUUUUAUUUUAACAAAAUGAGAAUAUCCUUAUUAAAGAGUAUUUAUAUAUAUAUAUAGAGAGAGAGAGAGAGAGAGAGAGAGAGAGAGAGAGAGAGAAAAUUGUAAGGGAGAGAAGAUUUAUGAACGAAAUAUUCUAGUUGCACUAUAAAAUAAAUAAAUAAAUAAUAUAUAUAUAUAUAUAUAUAUCUAAAAUCUACCAUCCUAAUAGAUUUCAAGUUGUAAUAAAUCCGAAAUUGUAAUCGUUGAAAAGAAAAAUGGUUUGGGACCUUUUUAAUACAAACGGAGAACCAAUAUCCUUUUCCGUGAGAUUUGAGAAACAAGAAUAGCAAACAAGAAAUCAGCUUAUUGUCAUUAUCUGGCUACGCACGAUAUAGGAUCCGGCGGGAAUCGCCAAUCGCCCAUCAUAUACAUACAUUUGUUUUGCAAAUGUAUCUUUCAUCAUUGAAACUAAAUAGUGAAUAAUUAUUUUCUUUCUUUAAUGGGAAAAAGAAAGAAGAGAAAGUUCUUUGCAUGAACAUAAAAAUCUCCAAGUCCACUAAGAAAUGUACUUACAAAAAUAAAAGUCUACUGAGAAAUGUAAAACCAAAAAUUUAUCUUCAAACUAGAGAAAAUUUUUCAAACAACCAAUAGUUAAUGCGCGUAUUUUGUGAAAGAUAGCCAAUGGGAAUGGGAGGUAACGUAAUCAAAUAAUUUAUUGAUUUAUUCAAGUCAUCAAUAUCAAAGUGAGACAUCCAUUUCCAAUUGGAAGAAAAAAAACCAUAUUUUAAUUGCCAAACCGGCGUGGAUUUCUCUCUCUCUCUUUAAGGUCCAAUUAACACACUAAUUAAGUUCAGAUUGUAUAUGGACAUCUGUGACUAAUUGGUUAAUUGAUUCAUUAAACUAUAUCUCUAUAAUCUUUUCUAUCCAUAUUCCAUUCUAAUGUUGCAAUGACAUAUAUAUAAAUAUAUAUAUAUAUAUUGUGUGUGUAUAAGGAAAUUUAAUUAAUUUCGUAACACAUGCAUUAUUGCAUUAAAAUAAUAGUCACUGUUGCCUCAAUUUCGAUGGUCAAAAGCAAAAUAUUUAAAGCAGAAUCCUACAGUUUGACCAUGCAAAAAACCAAUGAAAAUUCAAAUAUCGGGGGUUCCUAUACUAAUAGUUGCGAAUGGGACCAACAAUUCAUAUCUUUCAUUAACCUGUAAGGUGGAAAAAUCCAUAUCGGCGAUUAAUUAAUCAGACAUGCUGCGGAUGAGGUUUAAUGAGAAUCUUAGCAUUGGCAGGAAGUCAACCAUGUGCCGAGACAAUAUUUUUAUUAAAAUAAUGCACUUGGCUUGGAUACAAUUCAGAAUAUGACAAAAACAAAUCUAACUUUAGUUUGACUGGUACUGCAUUCUAAAAUCGUACCAGGACGAAAGACAAAAUCACAUUAGAAGGGUAGUUGGAAUUUUCUUAAUCGAGCUAUUUGCUUGGAAGAUUCAUCAUCCCUGCAUUUAGCAAAUAUAAAAGAAUCGCAAGAUUAUUAAAACAACGUAGUAAUAACAGCUCAUCAGAAGAUCCGUACGGUACAACAAGGAAACAGGGUAGAAUUGAAAGAUAGCUCAUAGCUCAUACCUCACGGCUAGCUUUUCUGGGUCUUCAAAGAUGUCCUUCUUGAAGCUUGACCUGCUCCUUGUCUCAAUUCUGUCUGUAAGCUGCUUAUGGACACAAGUACUUGUUUCUGCUACUCUGCCUCGAGCUGAAGGUUCGGCUGAUAAAAUUUUCUUUUUAUUUUCAAUAUCCCCUUCUUCAUGAUAUCUUGUAACCAGUUGUAGCUUAUGUUUCAUUUCUCUCUCUCUCUCUCUCUCUCUCUCUCUCUCUCUCGGUAUUAGUAGUGUAUUAUUCUCAGAAAUAAAGAAUAAAACAUUGUUAAGAGCCUAAGAUGAUAAUUGAAUUGAGGAUCAGCGAUCUUACAAUGGUCAGAUUAGUGACAUUCAUAAUAUUAUUAAAAAAAUUAAAAAUAGAACUUCAAAAUUUGGUGACUGGUCGAAUUCAGAACUGUUAUUUUCACCAAGUUCUGAUGUUUAAUUGAGAGAUGCUUCUUUGUGCAUGUAGUUGAUGCGCUCAAUCAAAUUGCCAAAACAAUGGGAGCUAGGGACUGGACGUUUGAUGCUAAUGCUUGUGACCUGAAUGAGACACCAAUAGUGCUGGAAGAAGGUCCCACCAGGAUCAUUACUUGCAACCUUGGAAUCGAUAAUACAAGCCACAUUACUGAAAUGUAGGUUCUUUUUUUGUCAUUUUAUAAAAUUUGAACCGGCAUAUUUUUAUUUUUCAGUUUUGUGUUUAGGUUGAUGUGAAGGACCAAUUUUGGGUAUCUUUUGUUUUCCAUUUUCAGACAAUUCAAACGUUGCAACCUUUCUGGAACACUUCCACGAGAAUUGGUCCAGCUUCCUUCCAUCCAGAAAGUGUGAGUUGAAUAGUCUCUAAUCUAAUGCAUUGGGAGAUUAAACUUAUAAAUAAAUUAAUCAUUUUUGUUAAUUUGCAGUGAUUUUGCCUACAACUACCUAAAUGGUUCCAUACCAGUCGAAUGGGCUUUGUUGCAGUUGAAGUUCAUGUAAGCUAUAUCUAAUUCUCUCUAAUCAGGUUAAGCAGUUAGCAUUCUACUUGUUUCAUAGAGUUAAUUGAUCGUCAAUAAUCUUAAUGCAGCUCUGUUUUUGGAAACCGGUUAUCAGGCAAUAUUCCAAGCCAUUUGGCGAACAUUACCAGUCUCACGUACUUGUAAGCUAUCAAUUCUUGGUUUAUGCAAACAUAUUUAGGCCACUGAUGUAAAUGAUAACUAAUUUAUUCCCUUUGUAAUCUGAAUGGGUCUAAUUUGCCAGGGACAUUGAAGCAAACCAAUUCUCGGGAACCGUACCUGAGGAGUUCAGGAAAUUAGUAAACUUGGAAACUCUGUAAGGCAUUGUCAAGCUUUUUUGUGGCUGAUAUUUGUUCAUGAUCAAUGUAAUCAUUUGGACCAUAAAUUGUCAUGGUUACAGGAGACUGUCCUCCAAUCAGUUGAGUGGAAGUUUGCCGACGGGACUAGCUGAGCUAAAAAAUUUAACUAACUUGUAAGCCUUCUUGAUUAGUGUCAGAUCAUGCUCAAAAUUUAUCAGAGGUAUAAGCUGUACUCAUUCUCAUUGCACAUUGCAGUAGGAUCAGCGACAACAACUUCAAUGGGAGUAUACCAGAAUUUAUACAAAACUGGAAGCAACUUGAGAGACUGUACGAUCAUCUACAUUACAAAGAUUUCUCAUCUUACAUUCUGGUUCUUGAUUGUUCUUGAUUUGUUAAUUUGAGUUGAUGCAGAGAAAUGCAAGGUAGUGGAUUCGAUGGACCCAUUCCGUCAUCCAUCUCUGUCUUGGAAAAUCUGAAACAAUUGUGAGUAAAUAUUUCUCUACUUGUCAAUUACAAUAAUCAGAAUGAUUUAAUACAUCAAUUUAUAUGAUUAAUUUAUUAUAUUUAACGAUACUAAAAGGAUCUGUUAAUUAUGGCACUCUAACAGGAGGAUUAGUGACAUAGCUGGAACAAAUCAUCUUUUUCCGGAUCUUAGAAAAAUGGCAGGCAUUAAAAGGAUGUAUGCUCAUUGGCUAUUUUCUAUCAUUUUGAUGGAGUAUGAUUAUUCGCCUUAUAAUUAUCUUACAGGAUUAAUGUUGGAUUUUCAGAAUUUUGAGAAACUGUGGUAUUUCUGGGGAGUUUCCUGAAUAUAUCUGGCGAAUGAAUAAUCUGCGAAUUUUGUAAGUAUGCUACAUUCUUUGUUUUCUAAUGCAGAAAUUAAAUACUUGAAAAUGAAAGCAAAAUUCCGGGUUUACAUUCAUGAAAAGUAACACCAACUAGUAAUGUAGUAUUCUUCUAUACCUUGCAGCUGCCAUAGCAGCAAUAGAGUUGAAGCAUCAGCACUUACAGGCCAGUUAAUGUAUUUACAUGGAUAAUCAUUAUCUUUUGAAUUUGGUUUGGACAGGGAUCUCAGUUUUAAUAGGCUAACCGGGAAAAUUCCCAAUGUUGCAACUCCACCGAGUUUGAAAUUCAUGUAAGUUAAUGAAAUCAACUGUCUGGAUUUACAAUGUUAAUUAUGUGAUGUCCAACUCAUUAACCACCUGAUACGGCCUUGGUCAGCUUUCUAACUGGCAACUUUCUCAGCGGGAACAUACCAGCGUCGAUCUUGAGGAAAGGAACUAAUGUGUGUGUAUCUUAUCACCUGGAUGCCUUGAGUUUUACUUAUUUUAGUGAUUUAUGUUCAUAUAUAUUUGCAAUCUGUUGAUUUACUAUAUAGUAACCAUAUGUAACUUUGUAAUCCUGUUUCUAAAGAGACCAUAUUAAACAUCAAUUUUGUUAAAUAAAUAAUCUUAUGCAUGAAAUUUCCUUCAUUGCUUCUUUCUUGCAUGCAGGGAUCUGUCAUAUAAUAAUUUCACUCAUCAAAACCCUGAGCAGCCUGCUUGUCGGGAGAUACAGUCAGUAUAUUUCCCUCUCUAUGUUAAAUAAAUAAUCUUCUCCGCUUGUAAUAUCACUUGGUAUAUCUGAGUGCUGAUAUUUGCUUUGUCUCCCGUUAUUUCGUUAGGAAUCUAAAUCUGAACCUGUUCCGAAGUUCUUCUGGGCACAGCAAUUUGUAUGUUGCUUUUCAUGCUUUCUUAUUAUUGUAGCUUAUGUGACAGAUUUAACAACCAAUGUAUAAAGAAGUUUUAAAAAUAUACAGUCAUUUUAUCAUCCAAUAAAUAAGAAGCAACGUGUAUUUUUAGAUUAGACAAUGUAAUGUCUACUAAUAUUCUCUUUUUCCUUGACUAAAAACCAGAAGUGGAGUUCUUCCAUGUAAGAAUAAUUUCAAAUGCGAUCGAUGUAAGUAUACUCUACUAUCAGUAAGUCACCAUAAAAUCUAUAUCUCGAAUAUGUUGACUUUUAGAAUCACAAAUAGUUGGUAGCCUAGCUAUUAAUAAUAUCAUAUUCAAAUCAACUUCAAUUCUUCUGUUUAUUUUUUAAUUGUCAGUUCAUUUCUGGUUUCUUGAAAACUCAUUGCUCAGAUAGUCUUUAACAUUCUUUUUUCUCGGCAGAUUGGCACUCACUGCACAUUAAUUGUGGUGGAAAUGAAGUAAAAGUAAAUGGCAGCACAUUUGAAGGAGAUGGACAAAUUGGUGGUGGUGCUGCAACAUACCAUUCAGAAGAUGAUACUAACUGGGGUUUUAGUAGCAGUGGAGACUUCACUGAUGAUGAUGAUGAACAAAACAGACGUUACAUUGCAACUCCUGACUCAUCAAACCUUUCUGAACUAUACAUUAAUGCACGCAUUGCUCCUCUUUCACUUACUUACUUUGGAUAUUGUUUAGACAACGGAAAUUAUACUUUGAGUCUACACUUUGCGGAGGUCCAGUUCAGUAAUGGAAUUACAUUUCACAGCCUGGGAAGGCGUCUAUUUGAUAUUUAUAUUCAGGUAAUUAAUCAGAAUCAGGAAAUAGAUUUUCAUCGGACACAUUUCUCUCUGUGAGUUCUUGGGAGACAGUUGUGCUAUUGAGUAAUAUGAUGGAUGAUUCUCAAUAUGUUUCUCUGGAUUGUCUUGUUUCAGGACAAACAAGUUGAGAGGAAUUUCGAUAUAAAAGCUGAAGCUUCUGGGGCUCUUAAGCCAGUUGCAAGAUCCUAUAAUGUCACUGUUACAAAUCACAUUAUAGAGAUCCGUUUCCAUUGGGCUGGAAAAGGGACUACGGCACUUCCUAAAAGGGGAGUUUAUGGCCCCCUAGUAUCAGCUAUUUCAUUGAAUGACCCCAGUGAGUCCUUUUCAUCCCUUAUUCUGUUUUCAAAAUCGACUAACAUUAUAAUACGUUGCGAAGUCCGGAUUUUUAGUAACACAAUUUCAAAUGUUCUUUUUUGAAGUUUAACUCUCUACGAUUGUACAUUAGAAAAAAACCAAAAUUCAGAUAUUUAGUUUGUUUGCAGCCAUUUUCUUACAUAUCCAUUUUAUGUGAAAGGAAAAAGAAAAUCUCCAUAAGUUAUUAAGCCUAUCAAUGUAGUUUUGAAUUUUUUUUCAUGCCCACACGUUUCUGUAAUGCAUUCGUUCCAUGUUUUCACAUGCUUCUGAUAAUCCUGCUUCAUGGAUUCUCCUUGGCAGACUUCAAACCUGAAAAGAAGAAGGUAGUGCCGAUUGUUGUUGGAGUAGUUGCAGGAUUAUCUCUCAUAAUCUUGGCGUUCGGUAUCCUCGGUUGGAGGUACUAUUUGAGAACCAAGAGGCGCAAAGAAAGAGGUGUGGGCUUCUUUUAGAUAAAAAUUAAAAAAUGCUUCAGUUUGCUACUCAACAUUUAUUCACAAUCAUUUUCUUUUUCAUUAUAAUAAUCAAAAUAGUAUCUUUAUAACAGCAUUAACUUUAUGUAAGCAUGUGAAGACAUUUAGGUUCAAACUACAUGCUGAUGCUCAUUUUGACCAUCCACAUUAAAUUUAGUAAGGAAAUAACUUAAUGAAUCCAGAAACUCAUCUAGAGGCUAAAGCACACUUGUCUCUCUUUAUUUGGACAGGUUUUAUGAAAGAGUCGGAUCUCCAAACAAUUUCUUUUACCUUAAAACAAAUUAAAGCUGCAACUAACAAUUUUGAUUCUGCAAAGAAGAUUGGAGAAGGUGGAUUUGGACCUGUGUACAAGGUAUAUUGGCCAACCUUUUGCCCCUAAUCAUCCUCUUAACACAAAAUUUCCUUCAAUGGUUACUUAAAAUUUGUACAUUUCUUUUUUCAUAACUGGGAUGCAGGGUCAACUAGCAGAUGGUACUAUAAUUGCUGUGAAGCAACUCUCUUCAAAAUCAAGGCAGGGGAAUCGUGAAUUCUUAAAUGAGAUAGCCAUGAUUUCGUGCUUGCAACACCCAAAUCUUGUUAAAAUUCAUGGCUGUUGUGUUGAAGGGGAUCAACUCUUGCUAGUAUAUGAAUACAUGGAAAACAGCAGCCUUGCCCGUGCUUUGUUUGGUAAGUUUAGUCUAGUAAAACAAGAAGCAAAUGUUACAUACAGGUAUAUUAUGUUUCAUAUUCUGUAGGGAUGUUUCUGAUUGGAUUUGGAAUGGUUAUUGUAUUUUUAAGGUCGUGAAAACUGUGAACUGGAAUUGGACUGGCCGACCAGGCAGAAGAUCUGUCUUGGCAUAGCCAGGGGGUUAGCUUUUCUUCAUGAAGAAUCAAGAUUCAAAAUUGUUCACAGAGACAUCAAAGCUACAAAUGUUCUGCUAGAUAGGGAUUUAAACCCCAAAAUAUCAGAUUUUGGACUAGCUAAGCUUGAUGAGGAGGAUAAAACCCACAUCAGCACUCGCAUUGCUGGAACCAUGUAAGCCUCAUUUCACGUCUCUCAUUUAAAACUGAUAAUUUUGUUAUUGUUUCAGUGUAAUACAAAAUUGAUAAUUUUGACUUCAGAGGAUACAUGGCACCAGAAUAUGCACUCUGGGGCUAUUUGACCUACAAAGCAGAUGUUUACAGUUUUGGGAUCGUGGCCUUGGAAAUUGUUAGUGGGAAAAAUAAUAUGAGUUAUGCUUCAGCUCUGGAGUUCGACUGCACUUGUCUUCUCGAUUGGGUCAGCAACUAACUCAUAUAAUUCACCUUCUGCAUUUUCAUUUCUGUGGUUGUUGUGUCUUCUCUAAUGCUAUGUUUUGGUUUGGGUAGGCCUGUCAUCUUCAGCUAGAUGGAAAGUUAGUGGAGCUAGUGGAUGAAAGGCUAGGAUCAAAAUACAACAAGGAAGAAGCAGAAAGGAUGAUCAAAGUAUCUCUUUUGUGCACAAAUGCUUCGCCGUCACUAAGGCCAACAAUGUCGGAAGUGGUGAACAUGCUGGAAGGAAAAACUGCCAUACCAGAUAUGAUACCAGAAGCUGGAAGUUAUAGUCAAGAUUUGAGGUUCAAAGCCUUGAGAGACCAAAAGGGGCUGAGGCGUAGUCAGAAUUCGACAGCAACUCAGUCCCAGCAUUCAAUAUCAGCUGAGUUCAAUCAGGCCUCUUCCUCUACUUCGGCUGCCCAAGAUCUCUAUGAAAUUAAUGAGGAGUCAUAUAAGAAGUAUAAAGUCAUUAGAGACGGUUAUAAGCUGAUCCAAGGCAUGAAUUCAGAGGUACAGCUUUCAACGACUAUGCCCUCAUGAACUGCCUAUGAUCUUUACAACCAUAAUUCAUCGAGUUCCUAGAAACAUACAUCAUUUUUGGUGUUGUCAAUUCCGCAGUUCCUUUUUCAUUUUUUGAAAAUAUGUGUGUAUAUACACAUCUAUGUUAUUGUGCAUUUUGUUACCUUGGUGACUGUAAGAUUACAAACUAACUAUACAUUUGGAGUCCACAAAACAAAUGUGAAAAGAACAACUUUGAUGAUUGCUGGCUUCCUCAAUAAUUUUAGAGGCGCACGCAACCAUUUCCAAUCUGAUUGGCCCUAGCUGGCUGCCAUGUCUAGCGGCUCACAUCCGUCCUGCUUUUGAAAAACAGCAGCGAUGAAUGUAUAAAAAUUAGUUAAAAAAAUAGCACCUCACUAUUAAAAGAUAAAAGAAAUUCACUAUAAAAUUAAAAAAAUAUAUUAUGUUACAAGAUAUGUUUUGGAGUCUCCCAUGCUAUUCGUGCUCAAUUUCGAUACGAACGCUACUAUUCCUAUUAAAAACCUAUAAUGUCAAAUUGGGCUUAAAAUAUCUAAUUUGACCAUUCUACAUAAGAUCUAUUACUCAUCCACAUUUUAAUCUUAUAACUCUAAAACAAAUAAUAUAAUUUUCUGAAUCAAUAUCAAAUUGACAGUUUGACACUAACUAUUCAUAUAUUUGAGCUAUCAAUGAUCAAUGAGUGUCCAAACGAUUCACUUCGCUCCAUUCUACAGCAGCGAAGGAAUCUGAAACCUUAUCAUUGAUUUGACAAAUGCAAUAACCGGCCCUUUCUGUUAGAGUUACUAUCAUUAGUCAUACAAAAUGUUAAACGUUGAUUCCUAUUAAAAAAAAGAAAAAAAGUAAAGGUAUUCGUAUUGCAUGCUCAUGCAUGCACGGAAAGGUGAAUUGAAAGUAAUUAAGAUGGCUGUUUAAUCUUCACUUUUCAACAUUUUGACUAAAGAAAUAUUGGAUGUGCGUGCAUACAGCAUAUUUUAUUUAUGGAGCUGCAUAAUAUUCUAACCUUUUCUACUGUGUAAAUCAAAAAGUAAGGACAAAGGAGAAGAGAACGAUUGGAUGACGUUGGCUGCUAGAGGCAGAAAGAGAGCUGCUCUGCUCAAGGCAUAUUUUGGGUACAAACUUGAAUACAGAUUCCUAUUUUGGGUUUUGCGAAAAUGCUCUUCUUCUUCAAACGUUUUCUACUUCCUGUGCUGGUUAUGAGUUGCUUUUGGGCUCAAAUUUUUGCUGCUGCUAAACUGCCUCGACAUGAAGGUAAGUUCAAAUUUUUGCAAUUUUAGUACAGAUUUUCACUUUUACCAAGUAGGAUCUACUUCGAUUAGUAGGUUUUGAUUGUGUUGGCAGUUGGUUUGAUCCUAUCUCUGAAUAAUUACUUUAUCAAGAUAGUAAAAACCCAGAAUCUCAAAUAUUCUUUUAAAAGCAUUAUUAGCAGAUUUUUUUUUUUUUUAACUUUUAAAUUUUCUGAUGAUGAUGAUGAAAAUGCAGUUGAUGUUCUCAAUCAGAUAGCUCAAACAAUGGGAGCCACUAACUGGACUUUCGGUUCUGAUGCUUGUGAAGAUCACGUCACUAUAAAACAGAUUGUAUUAACAGAUCCUUUGAGAAACAUAACCUGCAACUGCCAAUUUCAGAAUGAAACCUGCCACAUUAUUGCCAUGUAAGUUAGUUGCCUUGAUUCUCUCACGAAUUAGAUGAAAGUAUUUGUAGCAUUCUUUCAAAGAGGAAUCUUGGUCACACAGUGUCAAUUUUUAAUGUAGUAACAAAAAAGUCUGAAAAUUGCUAUUGCCCAUUAAUGGAGUGUGAAAAGUGCUGUUUUUGCGAAAAGGAAAUUUCUUUUCCCAUAAAAUAAUCUGGUUUUGCUUUACUUUUUCGCGGAAUUCAUGCGUUUCAGCCUUCGAGGAACUCUCCCACCUCAAAUUGUCAAUCUUCCUUACCUCGAAAAUGUGUAAGAUUGUACACAACUUUCAGCAAUGCAUAUUUAUUCUAAUUUUAUUGUUCGCUAAUUUUUUAUGCAUUUGGGAUUGAUACCCAAUUUUGUUGAGAGGGUUUCUGUGAAUGCUUGUGAAAGAACUUUAAAAGCACUUGCUGAUGCUUCUCCAUAAAGCAUUUCCAGUACAUUUUUGACCCUCUAAGCAUUUUCUAGAAAUCAUCUACAAGUGCUUCCUCACAAGGAAUUUUGCAUUUUUGUUUAUUUUAGACUAAUGCUACCAAAAAAUAGACCCAUGCCAAAAAUGUAACUAAAUGCACCCCUAUUAGUCUACUGCAUUAUGAAUAUCUUCGUUUCCUUCUUUCUUUUACAGACCAAUUUGUAAAUUUGAUUGAUAUUGUUGUGGAAUGCAGUGAUUUUGCUUACAACUAUCUGCAUGGUUCGAUACCACGUGAAUGGGCCUCGAUGCAACUGAAGUAUAUGUAAGCUAUAUCUACAUCUUUCAAUCGGUCGAGAAAAUAAAAUUUUGUUUGUCUCACUGAAUUAACCAUAUUGGAAUUGUCCAUGCAGCUCUGUUUUUGCAAACCGAUUGUCAGGCAAUAUUCCAAGCCAUUUGGGGAACAUUACUAGUCUCACACUUGUCUCUCUUAAUUUGGACAGGUUUUAUGAAAGAGUCGGAUCUCCAAACAAUUUCUUUUACCUUAAAACAAAUUAAAGCUGCAACUAACAAUUUUGAUUCUGCAAAGAAGAUUGGAGAAGGUGGAUUUGGACCUGUGUACAAGGUAUAUUGGCCAACCUUUUGCCCCUAAUCAUCCUCUUAACACAAAAUUUCCUUCAAUGGUUACUUAAAAUUUGUACAUUUCUUUUUUCGUAACUGGGAUGCAGGGUCAACUAGCAGAUGGUACUAUAAUUGCUGUGAAGCAGCUCUCUUCAAAAUCAAGGCAGGGGAAUCGUGAAUUCUUAAAUGAGAUAGCCAUGAUUUCGUGUUUGCAACACCCAAAUCUUGUUAAAAUUCAUGGCUGUUGUGUUGAAGGGGAUCAACUCUUGCUAGUAUACGAAUACAUGGAAAACAACAGCCUUGCCCAUGCUUUAUUCGGUAAGUGUAAUCUAUUAUUGAUUGCUUGAUUGAUUAUGUGAGAGGAAAAUAAAAUAGUAACUUAGAAACACUAUACAAGUUAUAUAACAAUCUAUUAUUCUCCCUAGUAAUAUCUCUUGGAAUGGUCAUGUUAAGGUGGUGAAAACAGUCGACUGAAAUUGAACUGGUCAGUGAGGCAGAAGAUCUGCCUUGGGAUAGCCAGAGGUUUAGCUUUUCUACAUGAAGAAUCCAGAUUCAAGAUAGUUCAUAGAGACAUCAAAGCUACGAAUGUUCUGCUAGAUAGAGAUUUAAACCCCAAAAUAUCUGACUUUGGACUGGCUAAGCUUGAUGAGGAGGAGAAAACUCACAUCAGUACUCGAGUUGCUGGAACAAUGUAAGCUACAUGUCUCUCUUUUCAAUGACAUUUUGUCACUGUUUUAACAUCAAAACUCAUGAUAAUUUGAUAUGCAGAGGAUAUAUGGCACCCGAGUACGCUCUAUGGGGUUACCUGACCUACAAAGCAGAUGUUUACAGUUUCGGAGUUGUGGCUUUGGAAAUUGUCAGUGGGAAGUAUAAUAUGAGUUAUGUGCCAGACAGUAAUUGCAGCUGUCUUCUUGACUGGGUAUGAGAUUAACUAAAUUUUUAUUCUUUAGGAGUACAUGUAACUCCAUUUUAGUGGGGACAUGUUUGUUUGUUUGUUAUUUAUUUAUUUGGGACAACAGUUGUGGCAUGAGUUUAAAUCCAAUAAAUGUAGAUUUUUUAACAUAAUUGUCUCGGUUAUGUAUUUCCCUGGCCUUCCAUUUACAUCGAAGUGGUACGUUAAUGGAGUUAGUGGAUCCAAGGCUCGGAUCAGAAUUCAACAAGGUUGAAGCAGAGAAAAUGAUUAAAGUAGCACUCUUGUGCACCAAUGUGUCACCUUCACUAAGGCCAACCAUGUCUGAAGUGGUAAGCAUGCUGGAAGGAUCUUCUAACAUUCCGGAUGUAAUCCCUGAAGCCGGUGGUUUGAGUGAAGACUUGAGGUUUAAAACUCUAAGAGACCAUCCAAGAGAAAUGAAUAGUUCGGGUUUGGAAGGAAGUCUGUCUCGUUAUUCAUCGUCAGCCAGCUUCUUGCCUGGUUCUUCCAGCUUCUUGCAUGGUUCUUCCCCUACCGAUGAUGUCCGUGAAAUUAAUGCAGAGGCAUAUUUGAAGUUUAAGGCCAUGAGAGACAGUCAUAUUCAUAUGGAAAGACAAAGUUCGGUUGCCCAAGUAUCAACACCGGUCCCCUCAUGGACUGGCUCUUCAAAAUCUGCCCAUGAUCUUCACAACACAAUUCGAGUUCAGCGGAUGUGCAAAAUCAUCCGCCAGCUAGUUUCAAGUUUCAACAUUCAACUUUUUUGUAACCUACGUCUAUGUGUCAUACCUUCUCGCAUCAUCUUUGUAUCUAAAAUUUUCAGCAAGUACGUACUAUAGAAGUCAUGUUUGUGUGUUUGGAGGAAAGAGUUACCAUUUUUCUGGAGUUGUUGAAAUUACGUGGUUUUAAGGUUGAUGCGAAAACCCAUAGUUUUGGGGAAAAAAAGGAAAGAUAGCAGAACGCCACGUGUCAACGAAUGGA
rnacentral:lncRNA from 1 species